UGGGGAAUUUUGGACAAUUGGGCGAAAGCCUGAUCCAGCAAUGCCGCGUGUGUGAAGAAGGCCUUCGGGUUGUAAAGCACUUUUGUCCGGAAAGAAAUCCUUGGCUCUAAUACAGUCGGGGGAUGACGGUACCGGAAGAAUAAGCACCGGCUAACUACGUGCCAGCAGCCGCGGUAAUACGUAGGGUGCAAGCGUUAAUCGGAAUUACUGGGCGUAAAGCGUGCGCAGGCGGUUUGCUAAGACCGAUGUGAAAUCCCCGGGCUCAACCUGGGAACUGCAUUGGUGACUGGCAGGCUAGAGUAUGGCAGAGGGGGGUAGAAUUCCACGUGUAGCAGUGAAAUGCGUAGAGAUGUGGAGGAAUACCGAUGGCGAAGGCAGCCCCCUGGGCCAAGUACUGACGCUCAUGCACGAAAGCGUGGGGAGCAAACNGGAUUAAUACCCUGGUAGUCCACGCCCUAAAGAUGUCAACUAGUUGUUGGGGAUUCAUUUUCCUAGUAACGUAGCUAACGCGUGAAGUUGACCGCCUGGGGA
rnacentral:rRNA from 1 species